rnacentral:rRNA from 1 species
GACGAACGCUGGCGGCGUGCCUAAUACAUGCAAGUAGAACGCUGAAGAGAGGAGCUUGCUCUUCUUGGAUGAGUUGCGAACGGGUGAGUAACGCGUAGGUAACCUGCCUUGUAGCGGGGGAUAACUAUUGGAAACGAUAGCUAAUACCGCAUAACAAUGGAUGACACAUGUCAUUUAUUUGAAAGGGGCAAUUGCUCCACUACAAGAUGGACCUGCGUUGUAUUAGCUAGUAGGUGAGGUAACGGCUCACCUAGGCGACGAUACAUAGCCGACCUGAGAGGGUGAUCGGCCACACUGGGACUGAGACACGGCCCAGACUCCUACGGGAGGCAGCAGUAGGGAAUCUUCGGCAAUGGGGGCAACCCUGACCGAGCAACGCCGCGUGAGUGAAGAAGGUUUUCGGAUCGUAAAGCUCUGUUGUAAGUCAAGAACGAGUGUGAGAGUGGAAAGUUCACACUGUGACGGUAGCUUACCAGAAAGGGACGGCUAACUACGUGCCAGCAGCCGCGGUAAUACGUAGGUCCCGAGCGUUGUCCGGAUUUAUUGGGCGUAAAGCGAGCGCAGGCGGUUUGAUAAGUCUGAAGUUAAAGGCUGUGGCUCAACCAUAGUUCGCUUUGGAAACUGUCAAACUUGAGUGCAGAAGGGGAGAGUGGAAUUCCAUGUGUAGCGGUGAAAUGCGUAGAUAUAUGGAGGAACACCGGUGGCGAAAGCGGCUCUCUGGUCUGUAACUGACGCUGAGGCUCGAAAGCGUGGGGAGCGAACAGGAUUAGAUACCCUGGUAGUCCACGCCGUAAACGAUGAGUGCUAGGUGUUGGAUCCUUUCCGGGAUUCAGUGCCGCAGCUAACGCAUUAAGCACUCCGCCUGGGGAGUACGACCGCAAGGUUGAAACUCAAAGGAAUUGACGGGGGCCCGCACAAGCGGUGGAGCAUGUGGUUUAAUUCGAAGCAACGCGAAGAACCUUACCAGGUCUUGACAUCCCGAUGCUAUUUCUGGAGAUAGAAAGUUACUUCGGUACAUCGGUGACAGGUGGUGCAUGGUUGUCGUCAGCUCGUGUCGUGAGAUGUUGGGUUAAGUCCCGCAACGAGCGCAACCCCUAUUGUUAGUUGCCAUCAUUCAGUUGGGCACUCUAGCGAGACUGCCGGUAAUAAACCGGAGGAAGGUGGGGAUGACGUCAAAUCAUCAUGCCCCUUAUGACCUGGGCUACACACGUGCUACAAUGGUUGGUACAACGAGUUGCGAGUCGGUGACGGCAAGCUAAUCUCUUAAAGCCAAUCUCAGUUCGGAUUGUAGGCUGCAACUCGCCUACAUGAAGUCGGAAUCGCUAGUAAUCGCGGAUCAGCACGCCGCGGUGAAUACGUUCCCGGGCCU